AUCGAACGCUGGCGGCGGGCCUAACACAUGCAAGUCGAACGAGUGGCGAACGGGUGAGUAAUGUAUGGGGACUGCCCGAUAGAGGGGGAUAACUACUGGAAACGGUGGCUAAUACCGCAUACUAUCGGAUAACCCAUAUGGGAUUAGCUAGUAGGUGGGGUAAAGGCUCACCUAGGCGACGAUCCCUAGCUGGUCUGAGAGGAUGAUCAGCCACACUGGGACUGAGACACGGCCCAGACUCCUACGGAGGCAGCAGUGGGGAAUAUUGCACAAUGGGCGCAAGCCUGAUGCAGCCAUGCCGCGUGUAUGAAGAAGGCCCUAGGGUUGUAAAGUACUUUCAGUGGGGAGGCGUUACCCGCAGAAGAAGCACCGGCUAACUCCGUGCCAGCCGCCGCGGUAAUUC
rnacentral:rRNA from 1 species